rnacentral:rRNA from 1 species
ACGCUGGCGGCAUGCCUUACACAUGCAAGUCGAACGGUAACGGGUUAAGCCGACGAGUGGCGAACGGGUGAGUAAUAUAUCGGAACGUGCCCAGUCGUGGGGGAUAACGUAGAGAAAUUUACGCUAAUACCGCAUACGAUCUACGGAUGAAAGCGGGGGAUCGCAAGACCUCGCGCGAUUGGAGCGGCUGAUAUCAGAUUAGGUUGUUGGUGAGGUAAAAGCUCACCAAGCCGACGAUCUGUAGCUGGUUUGAGAGAACGACCAGCCACACUGGGACUGAGACACGGCCCAGACUCCUACGGGAGGCAGCAGUGGGGAAUUUUGGACAAUGGGGGCAACCCUGAUCCAGCAAUGCCGCGUGAGUGAAGAAGGCCUUCGGGUUGUAAAGCUCUUUUGUCAGGGAAGAAACAGCAGCUCUAACACAGUCUGCGAAUGACGGUACCUGAAGAAUAAGCACCGGCUAACUACGUGCCAGCAGCCGCGGUAAUACGUAGGGUGCAAGCGUUAAUCGGAAUUACUGGGCGUAAAGCGUGCGCAGGCGGUUAUACAAGACAGGCGUGAAAUCCCCGGGCUUAACCUGGGAAUGGCGUCUGUGACUGUAUGACUAGAGUGUGUCAAAAGGGGGUAGAAUUUCACGUGUAACAAGUGAAAUGCGUAGAUAUGCCGAGGAACACCGAUGGCGAAGGCAAUUCCCUGGGCCUGCACUGAGCGC